rnacentral:rRNA from 1 species
AAGCCAGUCGAAGAUACCAGCUGGCUGCAACUGUUUAUUAAAAACACAGCACUGUGCAAACACGAAAGUGGACGUAUACGGUGUGACGCCUGCCCGGUGCUGGAAGGUUAAUUGAUGGGGUCAGCCGUAAGGCGAAGCUCCUGAUCGAAGCCCCAGUAAACGGCGGCCGUAACUAUAACGGUCCUAAGGUAGCGAAAUUCCUUGUCGGGUAAGUUCCGACCUGCACGAAUGGCGUAAUGAUGGCCAGGCUGUCUCCACCCGAGACUCAGUGAAAUUGAACUCGCUGUGAAGAUGCAGUGUACCCGCGGCAAGACGGAAAGACCCCGUGAACCUUUACUAUAGCUUGACACUGAACAUUGAGCCUUGAUGUGUAGGAUAGGUGGGAGGCUUUGAAGUGUGGACGCCAGUCUGCAUGGAGCCAACCUUGAAAUACCACCCUUUAACGUUUGAUGUUCUAACCUAGGCCCAUAAACUGGGUCGGGGACCGUGUCUGGUGGGUAGUUUGACUGGGGCGGUCUCCUCCUAAAGAGUAACGGAGGAGCACGAAGGUUGGCUAAGCAUGGUCGGACAUCAUGCGGUUAGUGCAAAGGCAUAAGCCAGCUUGACUGCGAGAGUGACGGCUCGAGCAGGUACGAAAGUAGGUCUUAGUGAUCCGGUGGUUCUGAAUGGAAGGGCCAUCGCUCAACGGAUAAAAGGUACUCCGGGGAUAACAGGCUGAUACCGCCCAAGAGUUCAUAUCGACGGCGGUGUUUGGCACCUCGAUGUCGGCUCAUCACAUCCUGGGGCUGAAGUAGGUCCCAAGGGUAUGGCUGUUCGCCAUUUAAAGUGGUACGCGAGCUGGGUUUAGAACGUCGUGAGACAGUUCGGUCCCUAUCUGCCGUGGGCGUUGGAAGAUUGAGAGGGGUUGCUCCUAGUACGAGAGGACCGGAGUGAACGCACCACUGGUGUUCGGGUUGUCAUGCCAAUGGCAUUGCCCGGUAGCUAAGUGCGGAAGAGAUAACCGCUGAAAGCAUCUAAGCGGGAAACUUGCCUCGAGAUGAGUCUUCCCUGUCACUUUAAGUGACCUAAAGGAACGUUUAAGACUAAGACGUUGAUAGGCUGGGUGUGUAAGCGUAGCGAUACGUUGAGCUAACCAGUACUAAUGAACCGUGAGGCUUAACCUG